rfam:Phytophthora megakarya strain zdho120 scaffold_8146, whole genome shotgun sequence.
AACACCGUAGCUCAAUGGCAAGAGCGCAGAGCUUCGGCUCUGAGGUGCCUGUUCAAUUCAGGCCGGUGUUA